rnacentral:rRNA from 1 species
CUACGGGAGGCUGCAGUAAGGAAUAUUGGACAAUGGAGGAAACUCUGAUCCAGCCAUGCCGCGUGAGUGAUGAAGGCCUUCGGGUUGUAAAGCUCUUUUAGAUGUGACGAUGAUGACGGUAACAUCAGAAAAAGCCCCGGCUAACUUCGUGCCAGCAGCCGCGGUAAUACGAAGGGGGCGAGCGUUGUUCGGAAUCACUGGGCUUAAAGCGUACGUAGGCGGAUUUACAAGUCAGAAGUGAAAUCCCAGGGCUUAACCCUGGAAUUGCUUUUGAAACUAUAAGUCUGGAAUCCGGUAGAGGUUGGCGGAACUCCGAGUGUAGAGGUGAAAUUCGCAGAUAUUCGGAAGAACACCAGUGGCGAAGGCGGCCAACUGGACCGGUAUUGACGCUGAGGUACGAAAGCGUGGGUAGCAAACAGGAUUAGAUACCCCGGUAGUC